GGACAGAGCCAGAGCAAGCCACCUUGAGGGGGGCUUUCACCUCCAACCCCUCUCAUCCUCUGUCUUCCUGCCUUCUUAAGUAGGGGGUGGGAAGGUAGCAGCGAGGACCCCACGGUGCUGGGGAUGCCCUUUUCCACUGACCCCCUGGAAUCCCACCUGGAACUCAGUGGGAAGCGACUGGCGGAGGAUUCUCUCCCCUCCCCGGAGGAUUAGCAUGGCUGGGAGGCCCCCAGCGGCACAUCCUCCCCUGAGAGAGGGAAACUGUGAGCUCAUCUUUGCCGCCGACGGCGGGCAGAACGGGUGGGGCGAGGGGCUCCACCUGUUCCCGAUAAUCUCUCUAAUCCAGCCCCAUAAUUAUUCUUUAUUAACAGAGGCUGCUGCCUUCGUUACACGCUGAAAAGAGGGCGUCAAGAGUGAAGACACAGGGAUCAGAAACUGGUCACAUUUUCCAAAGGGGUUUAUUUGCCACGACCAAAAUAACCUCCCCAGGAAAAGGCUGAGUUCCUGCCUUGCCCCAUCCUGGUGCCCAGCCUGGGAGGUCCAGGACCCACAUCCCCCAAGCUAGGCCCAGAGGUCCCUGCCAGGCUCCCACGGCCCCCAGUCUUCAUGCAUUCAAACAGUUCCUAAGAGCAAGAGUUUGCACAAGGCCUGGUACGGGGCUUUGCAGACACACAGGUAAAUCACACAUGGCCCUGCCUGCUUGGGGCUCGCUAUCUAAAAGGGAAGGGACGAGUACCCCAAUCACCACAGGGCAAACUGCUAAAUGUGUGCCAUCCUAGGGAGGACUGGGGGCUCCGGGAACAGCAUGGGGGUUGUGGGGAAGCCUUCCUGGAAUAAGGGACAAUAGAAUUCGGCUUUGAAGUAUAGAAGUUCCCCAGUGGACAAGGUAAGGGAAGGACAUUCUGUAGAAGGAACAGCAUGGUAAGACAAAGCUGAACCGUGAUUCCUUGUGACCAGAGCAAAGGUCUGAGAUGGCGAAGGGUGAUACUGGGGUUGGAGGGGUAGACAGGGCCAUGUCACACAAGUACCCAUCCUGUGGGUUCUGGGGAAUCAUAGAAUGUUUUAGGUCAGAUUGUGGUUUAGAAAACCCUUCUGGCGGCCGGGCACGGUGGUUCACGCCUGUAAUCCCAGCACUUUGGGAGGCCAAGGCGGGCAGAUCACGAGGUCAGGAGUUCGGGACCAGCCUGGCCAAAAUGGUGACACCCUGUCUCUACUAAAAAUACAAAAAUUAGCUGGGCAUGGUGGAAUGCGCCUAUAGUCCUAGCUACUCAGGAGGCUGUGGGAGAAGAAUCACUUGAACCUGGGAGGCGGAGGUUGCAGUGAGCCGAGAUUGCACCACUGGAGCAACAGAGCAAGAGUCUGUCUCAAAACAGACAAACAAAAAAGAAAAGAAAACCCUUCUGGCAUCAGGACAGCUGGCUCAUGCCUGUAAUCCCAACACUUUGGAGGCCAAGGCAGGAGGAUAGCUUGAGGCCAGGAGCUCAAGACCUGCCUGGGCAACAUAGCAAGACCCCAUCUCUCAAAAAAAAAAAAAAAAAAGACUUAGCCGGGCAUGGUGACACAUGCCUGUAGUUCUAGCUAGUUGGGAGGCUGAGGCAGGAGGAUUCCUUGAGCCCGGGAGUUCGAGGUUGCAGUAAGCUAGGAUCACAUCACUGCAUUCCAGCCUGGGAGACCUGUCUCAAAAAAAAAAAAAAAAA
ensembl:lncRNA